GAUGAACGCUGGCGGCGUGCCUAAUACAUGCAAGUCGAGCGAACGGACGAGAAGCUUGCUUUUCUGAUGUUAGCGGCGGACGGGUGAGUAACACGUGGAUAACCUACCUAUAAGACUGGGAUAACUUCGGGAAACCGGAGCUAAUACCGGAUAAUAUUUUGAACCGCAUGGUUCAAAAGUGAAAGACGUUCUUGCUGUCACUUAUAGAUGGAUCCGCGCUGCAUUAGCUAGUUGGUAAGGUAACGGCUUACCAAGGCAACGAUGCAUAGCCGACCUGAGAGGGUGAUCGGCCACACUGGAACUGAGACACGGUCCAGACUCCUACGGGAGGCAGCAGUAUGGAAUCUUCCGCAAUGGGCGAAAGCCUGACGGAGCAACGCCGCGUGAGUGAUGAAGGUCUUCGGAUCGUAAAACUCUGUUAUUAGGGAAGAACAUAUGUGUAAGUAACUGUGCACAUCUUGACGGUACCUAAUCAGAAAGCCACGGCUAACUACGUG
rnacentral:rRNA from 1 species